GUGGGGAAGUUUUCCAACUUCAAGCAUCUUAGCAAGCUCAUUCCCUGAUUCAGAAGCUCUCUCAAAUUGAACUUGAAUCUCCUUCACCACAUCAGAAUCACUAUUGAAACUACGACCCUUGGAACCAGCUACAUUUCCCCGAUUCGCAUCAUCAACCACUUUCUUAUCCACGACGUGUACCUCAUACUCAAUCGGGUCAUCCUCCACAGAUGAACUUGUUCUUGAGUGGUGGUGUAUGGACUCUGAAUCAG
rnacentral:misc_RNA from 1 species